GACGGAGGAUGCAAGUGUUAUCCGGAAUCACUGGGCGUAAAGCGUCUGUAGGUGGUUCGAAAAGUCCACUGUUAAAAAUUGAGGCUUAACUUCAAAGAUGCCGUGGAAACUUUCAAACUAGAGUAUGGUAGGGGUGGAGGGAAUUUCCAGUGGAGCGGUGAAAUGCGUAGAUAUUGGAAAGACCACCGAUGGCGAAGGCACUCUACUGGGCCACUACUGACACUGAGAGACGAAAGCUAGGGGAGCAAAUGGG
rnacentral:rRNA from 1 species